GACGAACGCUGGCGGCGUGCUUAACACAUGCAAGUCGAACGGAAAGGCCCUGCUUUUGUGGGGUGCUCGAGUGGCGAACGGGUGAGUAAAACGUGAGUAACCUGCCCUUGACUUUGGGAUAAAUUCAGGAAAAUGGGGCUAAUACCGGAUAGGAGCUCCCGCUGCAUGGGGGGGGUUGGAAAGUUUCGGCGGUUGGGGAUGGACUCGCGGCUUAUCAGCUUGUUGGUGGGGUAGUGGCUUACCAAGGCUUUGACGGGUAGCCGGCCUGAGAGGGUGACCGGCCACAUUGGGACUGAGAUACGGCCCAGACUCCUACGGGAGGCAGCAGUGGGGAAUAUUGCACAAUGGGCGGAAGCCUGAUGCAGCAACGCCGCGUGCGGGAUGACGGCCUUCGGGUUGUAAACCGCUUUCGCCUGUGACGAAGCGUGAGUGACGGUAAUGGGUAAAGAAGCACCGGCUAACUACGUG
rnacentral:rRNA from 1 species